AUAAACCUCUCUCUCUUUCAGUACACGAUGUUCCAGACCAGAUGAGAAGCAGCACUUCGACUGGAGUCAGUGUUGAUGUGAAAGCUGAAACAGGAGCAAGUGUAAAUGCUCCUGUAUUGACUAGAAACCUCUUCACAGGACCAGUAAACAUUUGUGGAACAAAUGCUGCAGGAAAUGAUCAGCAGAAAUGCUCAGAGAUGGAAGAGAUAAAAAGAAAAAAACAUAAAAGAGAACAAAAAAA